UUAAGCAUAUCAAUAAGCGGAGGAAAAGAAACCAACAGGGAUUGCCCCAGUAACGGCGAGUGAAGCGGCAACAGCUCAAAUUUGAAAUCUGGCCCUUGGGUCCGAGUUGUAAUUUGUAGAGGAUGCUUUUGGCGAGGUGCCUUCCGAGUUCCCUGGAACGGGACGCCAUAGAGGGUGAGAGCCCCGUCUGGUCGGACACCGAGCCUCUGUAAAGCUCCUUCGACGAGUCGAGUAGUUUGGGAAUGCUGCUCAAAAUGGGAGGUAUAUGUCUUCUAAAGCUAAAUAUUGGCCAGAGACCGAUAGCGCACAAGUAGAGUGAUCGAAAGAUGAAAAGCACUUUGAAAAGAGGGUUAAAAAGUACGUGAAAUUGUUGAAAGGGAAGCGCCUAUGACCAGACUUGGGCCCGGUGAAUCAUCCAGCGUUCUCGCUGGUGCACUUUGCCGGGCACAGGCCAGCAUCAGUUUGGCGCGGGGGAAAAAGGCUUUGGGAAUGUGGCUCCCUCGGGAGUGUUAUAGCCCAUUGUGUAAUACCCUGCGCCGGACUGAGGUACGCGCAUUGCAAGGAUGCUGGCGUAAUGGUCAUCAGCGACCCGUCUUGAAACACGGACCAAGGAGUCGUCUUCGUAUGCGAGUGUUCGGGUGUCAAACCCCUACGCGUAAUGAAAGUGAACGCAGGUGAGAGCUUCGGCGCAUCAUCGACCGAUCCUGAUGUUCUCGGAUGGAUUUGAGUAAGAGCAUACGGGGCCGGACCCGAAAGAAGGUGAACUAUGCCUGUAUAGGGUGAAGCCAGAGGAAACUCUGGUGGAGGCUCGCAGCGGUUCUGACGUGCGAAUCGAUCGUCAAAUAUGGGCAUGGGGGCGAAAGACUAAUCGAACCUUCUAGUAGCUGGUUUCCGCCGAAGUU
rnacentral:rRNA from 1 species